UGGGAGAGGAAGAAGCAGGCUCAUAGCGGAGGAGCCUGAUGUGGGGCUCGAUCCCAUAACGCCGGGAUCACGCCCUGAGCCGAAGGCAGACGCUUAACCGCUGUGCCACCCAGGCACCCCCAACAUCGUAUUUCUGACCAACUGUUUGAUCUGCUGUGUUAUUUAUUCUCAUGAGGUUUUACGAAUUUUUGUUCGACGUAAAUAAUUGGUGGCAAGUGAAUGUAUGAAGCUGUGAUUUAGUUCGUAGCAGGAAGUUACAGUAAAAUAGCUCCGCCUGUGAUUCAGCUAUUUCGGAGCAGUAUGCUAAAUUAGGAGUAUUAAUUUCUAACCAUAAGACAAAUGAAAUAGACACUUCAGAUCCAUGGAGGAAAAGAACUGCCUUCUACAGACUCUCAUAGAUCAAGUUUGGGUGGCAAUUGCGUGAUAAGCUUUCACCGUCUAGCUUGUCCGAUACGCUAGAUUUCACAGUGUUUUCUCUAAAUUUACCAUAGUAGCACAGCAUAGUUUUUUCCCCCCAAGUCUUUUGGUGCCGGAGUGGGGGUUAGUUUGGAGAGGAAGGGUUCUGUGUCAUGCAUGCGGCAACUGUGAGACACACUCAUUUAAUCUGUGGCUUGCUUAAAGGCUUGGUGGACAGAGAUGUUUUGAGUCACCCGGAGGGGGUCAGAGUGGCCAGGCUGCGCUUCUUUGCCUCCACUAGGCUCUGUGGAAACGGCAUCCCUUGAGAUGUCCCGGAGUGAGAACCCUUCCCCAAGCGACAGUGAGCUGCAGUCUUGGAACCAGCUUUGCUUACCCCUUGGGGGGGGGGUCCGACUCCACGCCAGCAAGUUCUCCCCACGAGGUCUCUGAGGCCUGGAGACAGAAUGCCCUGCAGGGCUGCAGCCUGUUACACUAGCUCUCCAGGCGUGUUUAAGACCGCAGGGAGAGGAGGAGAGAGACCUGCGGCAGAGUACCGCCUCCCCGCCCUCGGCGAGGGCAGUAAACCAGCUCUGUGCAACGUGGCCCCUCGUGGACGUGGGGGAUUCCAGUUCGUGGGUGAAAGUAAAGACACCGGACUUCCCUCAUCACACGUAUCUGUUGAGUUGUGUCCCCAGCAAUCACACCACCACCCCGCAGCCCAAGCUUCACAGGAGGAGACUGAGCUGAGGAGAGGCAGAGUAACAGGGCCAGCCUUUGACUCAGGCAUGUGUGAGUCCGGGAAGGAAGAAGGAACGAUUCGGUUGUUUGGAAGGAGCUUUACAGAGGAGGCACUAAAAUGAAAAUGCAUCCUGCGUUCACCAGAUUCGCCUCUGUCUCCUAUCCAGGCCCUCCCUUGUGAAAUCGUGGCUCAAUCAAAUAACCGUCACUGACAUUUUGGGGAGAUAAUUAGUAAAAUUUGAAUACAGAUGGGUGUUGGAUGAUAUUAAGAAGUUGUUAACUCUUGCAGGAGUGAUGAUAAUAGUAUUGUGGUUUCAUAGGAAAAUGUGCCUUGUGCUUUGUGUUUUUUAGAUGCAUACUGAAAUACUUAGUUGUGAAAUCUCUUCAGAAGAAAAGAGAUGUAGCAAAUAUGGUGAAAUGAAAAUGAAAAUAUAUACAAUCAAG
rnacentral:lncRNA from 1 species